rnacentral:lncRNA from 1 species
CUAAAGGCAGCAUGUAGUCGCUUCGCUGUAGCUGGAUGGAGAAAAUCUUACUCCGUCUUAUUAUCGAGAACAUAGCAUCCAACGGCUCCUGUGUGCUGUAUUUUAAACUUUGACAGAGCCAUGUCCCCCGGGUGUCCUGUGAACUGAGGCGAUGGAGAGCUCGUCCUCCACAGUGAGGCGGCGAGCCUGGAUCAACAGCAGCCGUCAGUGGGUCACUUUUGAAGACCCUGAAGGGCCUCUGUGCCCGCUCCCAUCUGCCUCAAUAGCGGACGAUGAUGUGUUCUCUGAUGGAUGCCUUACGGGAAAGAUUGAGAACUGGCUUCUCGGUUGUGGGUCAGACGCCUGCUCAGAGAACAGCGGUCAGCUGAGUUUUGAGUCUGUGCUCCAAGCUGGUAACUUUGCUGAUGACCUAAAACUUGGAGCAGAUGGUAAGCAUACGCUGUAUAUGUUCAUGCGUGGGCAGACAAAUCUACAUGACUGCAUGCAUACUUAGUGUUUUCCUAAAGGAAUUUUAGGAAUUACAUUGAUUUUUGCCUGGGGUUAGCUCUCUGUGUCAGCUCCCUAGUACAAAGAGUGUGCGAUGUGCCACUGAGCCGGUGUGAGAAUAGCAAAGGAGUGUUUCUGGAUAAUUCACAUUGAUUGACUGGAGGGGUCAUAGGUCCUGCCCCUUGCUCUCUCUGCUAACUCUUCUAAUUCAAACUGAGUAUUUGUCUUCACGUGAAUGCAUCUAACAUAUUAAUUCCUGUUAAAGGAAAAAGGAAACUGCAGAUAAUGGCCACCCCAGAUAUUUCUUGAGAAUAGUUUUGCAUUAAUUUCCUGAAGACUUAGCCAUAACCACUACCUUUCUCACAUUCAUCUGAAGAUUAGUCAAGCCCUUAAUCUAACCUUUAUGUGUUCUCUGUACACACGACGUAAUACAUGCUUACCCUUGUAAAAGACUAAUAAUAGAGCAG